GGCUGGUCCGAAGGUAGGGAGUUAUCUCAAUUGACUGUUCACAGUCAGUACAGAUUGAACUCCUUGUUCUACUCCCCCCCCCCCCAAUUCUCACUACUGCACUUGACUAGUCUUUA
ensembl:misc_RNA Y_RNA Y RNA